rnacentral:rRNA from 1 species
AAACUUAAAGGAAUUGACGGGACCCGCACAAGCGGUGGAUGAUGUGGUUUAAUUCGAUGCAACGCGAAAAACCUUACCCACCUUUGACAUGUACGGAACCCUUUAGAGAUAGAGGGGUGCUCGAAAGAGAGCCGUAACACAGGUGCUGCAUGGCUGUCGUCAGCUCGUGUCGUGAGAUGUUGGGUUAAGUCCCGCAACGAGCGCAACCCUUGUCAUUAGUUGCUACAUUCAGUUGGGCACUCUAAUGAGACUGCCGGUGACAAGCCGGAGGAAGGUGGGGAUGACGUCAAGUCCUCAUGGCCCUUAUAGGUGGGGCUACACACGUCAUAUAAUGGCUGGUACAAAGGGUUGCCAACCCGCGAGGGGGAGCCAAUCCCAUAAAGCCAGUCGUAGUCCGGAUCGUAGUCUGCAACUCGACUACGUGAAGUCGGAAUCGCUAGUAAUCGUGGAUCAGAAUGUCACGGUGAAUACGUUCCCGGGUCUU